rnacentral:rRNA from 1 species
GACAGAGGGUGCAACCGUUGUUCGGAAUUACUGGGCGUAAAGCGUGUGUAGGCGGCCACGUAAGUCGGAUGUGAAAGCCCCGGGCUCAACCCGGGAAGUGCACUCGAUACUGCGUGGCUUGAGUACUGGAGAGGUUGGUGGAAUUCUCGGUGUAGAGGUGAAAUUCGUAGAUAUCGAGAGGAACACCGGUGGCGAAGGCGGCCAACUGGACAGAUACUGACGCUGAGACACGAAAGCGUGGGGAGCAAACAGG